rnacentral:rRNA from 1 species
CGCCUUGCCAGCCCGCUCAGAACUUAAAGGAAUUGACGGGGCCCGGCACAAGCGGUGGAGCAUGUGGUUUAAUUCGACGCAACGCGAAGAACCUUACCUGGGCUUGACAUCCCGAUCGCACCUUAUGGAAACAUAGGGGUCGAGUUCGGCUGGAUCGGUGACAGGUGCUGCAUGGCUGUCGUCAGCUCGUGUCGUGAGAUGUUGGGUUAAGUCCCGCAACGAGCGCAACCCUUGUCCUUAGUUGCCAGCAUUCAGUUGGGCACUCUAAGGAGACUGCCGGUGUCAAACCGGAGGAAGGUGGGGAUGACGUCAAGUCCUCAUGGCCCUUAUGUCCAGGGCUACACACGUGCUACAAUGGCCGGUACAAAGGGGCGCAAGACCGCGAGGUGGAGCAAAUCCCAAAAAACCGGUCUCAGUUCGGAUUGGAGUCUGCAACUCGACUCCAUGAAGUUGGAAUCGCUAGUAAUCGCGUAUCAGCAUGACGCGGUGAAUACGUUCCCGGGCCUU